UACGUAGGUGGCAAGCGUUGUCCGGAAUUACUGGGUGUAAAGGGUGCGCAGGCGGGACUGCAAGUUGGAUGUGAAAUUUCGAGGCUUAACCUCGAACCUGCAUCCAAAACUGUAGUUCUUGAGUGAAGUAGAGGUAGGCGGAAUUCCGAGUGUAGCGGUGAAAUGCGUAGAUAUUCGGAGGAACACCAGUGGCGAAGGCGGCCUACUGGGCUUUAACUGACGCUGAGGCACGAAAGCAUGGGGAGCAAAC
rnacentral:rRNA from 1 species